rnacentral:rRNA from 1 species
AACGAACGCUGGCGGCAUGCUUAACACAUGCAAGUCGAACGCAUGCCUUCGGGCAUGAGUGGCAGACGGGUGAGUAACGCGUGGGAACCUACCCCGUUUUACGGUAUAUCUCCGGGAAACUUGAGAUAAUACCGUAUGUUUCCUGAGGGAAAAAGAUUCAGCGCCAAGGUAUGGGCCCGCUUCGGAUUAGCGAGUGGGGGGGGUAAAGGCCUACCAAGGCGACGAUCCGUAGCUGGUCUAAGAGGAUGAUAAGCCACAUUGGGACUGAGACACGGCCCAAACUCCUACGGGAGGAAGAAGUGGGGAAUAUUGGAAAAGGGGCGAAAGCCUGACCAAGACAGGCCGGGUGAGUGAUGAAGGCCCUAGGGUGGUAAAGCUCUUUCACCGGUGAGGAUAAGGCAGGUACCCGGAGAAGAAGCCCCGGCUACCUCCGU